rnacentral:rRNA from 1 species
ACUCCUACGGGGGCAGCAGUGGGGAAUAUUGCACAAUGGGGCGCAAGCCUGAUGCAGCCAUGCCGCGUGUAUGAAGAAGGCCUUCGGGUUGUAAAGUACUUUCAGCAGUGAGGAAGGCGGGUACGUUAAUAGCGUGCUUGUUUGACGUUAGCUGCAGAAGAAGCACCGGCUAACUCCGUGCCAGCAGCCGCGGUAAAUACGGAGGGUGCGAGCGUUAAUCGGAAUUACUGGGCGUAAAGCGCAUGCAGGUGGUUUGUUAAGUCAGAUGUGAAAGCCCGGGGCUCAACCUCGGAAUUGCAUUUGAAACUGGCAGACUAGAGUACUGUAGAGGGGGGUAGAAUUUCAGGUGUAGCGGUGAAAUGCGUAGAGAUCUGAAGGAAUACCGGUGGCGAAGGCGGCCCCCUGGACAGAUACUGACACUCAGAUGCGAAAGCGUGGGGAGCAAACAGGAUUAGAUA